rnacentral:rRNA from 1 species
UCGAGCGGACAGAUGGGAGCUUGCUCCCUGAUGUUAGCGGCGGACGGGUGAGUAACACGUGGGUAACCUGCCUGUAAGACUGGGAUAACUCCGGGAAACCGGGGCUAAUACCGGAUGGUUGUUUGAACCGCAUGGUUCAAACAUAAAAGGUGGCUUCGGCUACCACUUACAGAUGGACCCGCGGCGCAUUAGCUAGUUGGUGAGGUAACGGCUCACCAAGGCAACGAUGCGUAGCCGACCUGAGAGGGUGAUCGGCCACACUGGGACUGAGACACGGCCCAGACUCCUACGGGAGGCAGCAGUAGGGAAUCUUCCGCAAUGGACGAAAGUCUGACGGAGCAACGCCGCGUGAGUGAUGAAGGUUUUCGGAUCGUAAAGCUCUGUUGUUAGGGAAGAACAAGUACCGUUCGAAUAGGGCGGUACCUUGACGGUACCUAACCAGAAAGCCACGGCUAACUACGUGCCAGCAGCCGCGGUAAUACGUAGGUGGCAAGCGUUGUCCGGAAUUAUUGGGCGUAAAGGGCUCGCAGGCGGUUUCUUAAGUCUGAUGUGAAAGCCCCCGGCUCAACCGGGGAGGGUCAUUGGAAACUGGGGAACUUGAGUGCAGAAGAGGAGAGUGGAAUUCCACGUGUAGCGGUGAAAUGCGUAGAGAUGUGGAGGAACACCAGUGGCGAAGGCGACUCUCUGGUCUGUAACUGACGCUGAGGAGCGAAAGCGUGGGGAGCGAACAGGAUUAGAUACCCUGGUAGUCCACGCCGUAAACGAUGAGUGCUAAGUGUUAGGGGGUUUCCGCCCCUUAGUGCUGCAGCUAACGCAUUAAGCACUCCGCCUGGGGAGUACGGUCGCAAGACUGAAACUCAAAGGAAUUGACGGGGGCCCGCACAAGCGGUGGAGCAUGUGGUUAAUUCGAAGCAACGCGAAGAACCUUACCAGGUCUUGACAUCCUCUGACAAUCCUAGAGAUAGGACGUCCCCUUCGGGGGCAGAGUGACAGGUGGUGCAUGGUUGUCGUCAGCUCGUGUCGUGAGAUGUUGGGUUAAGUCCCGCAACGAGCGCAACCCUUGAUCUUAGUUGCCAGCAUUCAGUUGGGCACUCUAAGGUGACUGCCGGUGACAAACCGGAGGAAGGUGGGGAUGACGUCAAAUCAUCAUGCCCCUUAUGACCUGGGCUACACACGUGCUACAAUGGACAGAACAAAGGGCAGCGAAACCGCGAGGUUAAGCCAAUCCCACAAAUCUGUUCUCAGUUCGGAUCGCAGUCUGCAACUCGACUGCGUGAAGCUGGAAUCGCUAGUAAUCGCGGAUCAGCAUGCCGCGGUGAAUACGUUCCCGGGCCUUGUACACACCGCCCGUCACACCACGAGAGUUUGUAACACCCGAAGUCGGUGAGGUA